GAGACGCUGGCGGCGUGGAUUAGGCAUGCAAGUCGAACGGUAGGAUACCUUCGGGUAUCUGAGAGUGGCGAACGGGUGAGUAACACGUAGGUGAUCUACCCUCAAGAUUGGGACAACCCGAGGGAAACUUGGGCUAAUACCGGAUGAAAGCAGCAGUGAUGUUGUUUGAAAGGUGGCGUAAGCUGCCGUUUGGGGAUGAGCCUGCGCUCUAUUAGUUAGUUGGCGGGGUAAAGGCCCACCAAGGCGAUGAUAGAUAGGCGGCCUUAACGGGUGGUCGCCCACACUGGGAUUGAGAUACGGCCCAGACUCCUACGGGAGGCAGCAGUCGAGAAUAGUCUACAAUGGCCGAAAGGCUGAUAGUGCGACGCCGCGUGAACGAAGAAGCCCUUCGGGGUGUAAAGUUCUUUUAUAUGUGAGCAGUGCUUUCUAUGUGAACAGCAUGGGGAGAGAGAUAUUAGCAUAUGAAUAAGCAACGGCUAACUCCGUG
rnacentral:rRNA from 1 species